rnacentral:rRNA from 1 species
GAGAUGAGUAUUCCCACCUCCUUGAGAGGGUAAGGCUCCCAGUAGACGACUGGGUUGAUAGGCCGGAUAUGGAAGCCCUGUAAGGGGUGGAGUUGACCGGUACUAAUAGGCCGAGGGCUUGUCCUC